rnacentral:rRNA from 1 species
UACGUAGGGUGCGAGCGUUGUCCGGAUUUAUUGGGCGUAAAGGGCUCGUAGGCGGCCUGUCGCGUCGGGAGUGAAAGCCCACUGCUUAACGGUGGGUCUGCUUCCGGUACGGGCGGGCUAGAGUAUGGCAGGGGAGACUGGAAUUCCUGGUGUAGCGGUGGAAUGCGCAGAUAUCAGGAGGAACACCGGUGGCGAAGGUGGGUCUCUGGGCCAUUACUGACGCUGAGGAGCGAAAGCGUGGGGAGCGAACAGG